AGAGAGCGCGAGAGAGAGAGAGAGAGAGAGAGAGAGAGAGAGAGAGAGAGAGAGAGAGAGGAGCAUUACGGUCAGAUUCUGGGCUUCAGGGCAGAGGCUCAUUGGAGCUUUUAAAAGAGCUUUUAAGUGGGUAUUCAGGAUCAGGUUCCCCUCAUUCACAAA